rnacentral:tRNA from 1 species
AUAUGGCAGAUUAAUGUCUUAAAUUUAAGAUUUAAUUAUGAAUUUCUAUUAGAA